UAUUCCACAGCUGACGACUCCUCACUGCAAUAUCAUCGAGUACAAGUCAGACGUUUUGCUUCAGCUACAAAGCCUUGGUCUAAAAAAUCUCCUGAGUCAAAAGAUGUUAACAAGGCCGUUAAAUAUGCUGUGGAAAGGAUGAACAACAUUGCAAAGGGCAGGAUGUUGUUCAAGCUGGUCUCAGUUACCAGUGCUGAAAAACAGGAAAGCAGUAAGAUCAAGUAUCAAAUCGAUGCAAUCGUCAAAGCAAGCAAAUGUCCUAAGUGGAAAAACUAUGACAUUAAAAGCUGCAUUUUGGACAAAACGCAACUAUUGUGCCACUUUAUUGUGAUUUUGAACCCCCGCAACAGCAUACACACUCUGAAAUCCAAGAAAUGCAGUAAACUUAAAAAGAAUGGUUAAUACUUUUUUACAAUGUCAAGACAACCAAAGAUCAUCCCAUUAUUUCCAUGCUGGAGAUUUUAGGUUAUCAGUAACAAUACAUGAAGUUACCUUUAAAAUGAAUUACACAAAGUAGCAUCUAAACCCAAAAGUAAAAUCAAACUUCAAUAAAAUCAGUGAGGUUAUGUGUUUGUUUUGUCUAAUGCAAGCUUUACUUUUAAAUUCUAUUUCUUUUUUAAUUUAAUCAUUAGAAAUCAUAGUCAGGCAGAGAGAGAGAAAGAGAGAGAGAGAGAGAGAGAAAGAAAG